rnacentral:rRNA from 1 species
UACGGAGGAUCCAAGCGUUAUCCGGAUUUAUUGGGCUUAAAGGGUUCGUAGGCGGCUUAUUAAGUCAGGGGUGAAAGACGGUGGCUCAACCAUCGCAGUGCCCUUGAUACUGAUGAGCUUGAAUACACUUGAGGUAGGCGGAAUGUGACAAGUAGCGGUGAAAUGCAUAGAUAUGUCACAGAACACCAAUUGCGAAGGCAGCUUACUAAGGUGCAAUUGACGCUGAGGCACGAAAGCGUGGGGAUCAAACAGG